rnacentral:rRNA from 1 species
UACGUAGGGUGCGAGCGUUGUCCGGAUUUACUGGGCGUAAAGAGCGCGCAGGCGGUCGUUCAAGUCGCGUGUGAAAGCCCCCGGCUCAACUGGGGAGGGUCACGCGAUACUGAUCGACUCGAAGGCAGGAGAGGGUAGUGGAAUUCCCGGUGUAGUGGUGAAAUGCGUAGAUAUCGGGAGGAACACCAGUGGCGAAGGCGACUCACUGGCCCGAUACUGACGCUGAGGCGCGAAAGCGUGGGGAGCAAACAGG